rnacentral:rRNA from 1 species
UGUAAACUUCUAUCAGCAGGGAAGAAAAUGACGGUACCUGACUAAGAAGCCCCGGCUAACUACGUGCCAGCAGCCGCGGUAAUACGUAGGGGGCAAGCGUUAUCCGGAUUUACUGGGUGUAAAGGGAGCGUAGACGGAAGAGCAAGUCUGAUGUGAAAGGCUGGGGCUUAACCCCAGGACUGCAUUGGAAACUGUUUUUCUAGAGUGCCGGAGAGGUAAGCGGAAUUCCUAGUGUAGCGGUGAAAUGCGUAGAUAUUAGGAGGAACACCAGUGGCGAAGGCGGCUUACUGGACGGUAACUGACGUUGAGGCUCGAAAGCGUGGGGAGCAAACAGGAUUAGAUACCCUGGUAGUCCACGCCGU